GAUGAAGAACGUAGCGAAAUGCGAUAAGUAAUGUGAAUUGCAGAAUUCAGUGAAUCAUCGAAUCUUUGAACGCACAUUGCGCCCGCCAGUAUUCUGGCGGGCAUGCCUGUCCGAGCGUCAUUUCAACCCUCAAGCCCCCGGGCUUGGUGUUGGAGAUCGGCGAGCCCCCCGGGGCGCGCCGUCUCCCAAAUAUAGUGGCGGUCCCGCUGUAGCUUCCUCUGCGUAGUAGCACACCUCGCACUGGGAAACAGCGUGGCCACGCCGUAAAACCCCCCACUUCUGAAAGGUUGACCUCGGAUCAGGUAGGAAUACCCGCUGAACUUAAGCACAUCAAUAAGCGGAGGA
rnacentral:misc_RNA from 1 species